UCCGGUUUGUCACCGGCAGUCUCACAUGAGUCCCCAACUUAAUGCUGGCAACAUGCGACGGGGGUUGCGCUCGUUGCGGGACUUAACCCAACAUCUCACGACACGAGCUGACGACAGCCAUGCACCACCUGUGAUCCUGCCCCGAAGGGAAGCCCUGUUUCCAGAGCGGUCAGGAACAUGUCAAGCCCAGGUAAGGUUCUUCGCGUUGCAUCGAAUUAAACCACAUGCUCCACUGCUUGUGCGGGCCCCCGUCAAUUCCUUUGAGUUUCACCCUUGCGAGCGUACUCCCCAGGUGGGGAUGACGUAUCCUCAUGCGUU
rnacentral:misc_RNA from 1 species